UGCCACAAUCAUAUCAACCUGCAGCCCAAGACUGGUUACUCACUAAGCAGGACUGAGCCUUGUCAGUACCUGGAUGGGAGAUCACAUGGGCAAACUAGGUUGCUGUUGGAA
rnacentral:rRNA from 1 species